UGGGCCACCUCUGCAUGGUUUUUCUUGCC
rnacentral:piRNA from 1 species